rnacentral:rRNA from 1 species
UACGUAGGUGGCGAGCGUUGUCCGGAUUUACUGGGCGUAAAGCGCGUGCAGGUGGUUUGUUAAGUCCGGUGUGAAAGCUCCCGGCUCAACUGGGAGAGGUCAUCGGAUACUGGCAGACUUGAGGGAGGCAGAGGUCGGUGGAAUUCCCGGUGUAGUGGUGAAAUACGUAGAGAUCGGGAGGAACACCAGUGGCGAAAGCGGCCGACUGGGCCUUACCUGACGCUGAGACGCGAAAGCGUGGGGAGCGAACCGG